CCCACCGCCGAAAGCCGAGACGGGCCCAUUGACGUCACUUUGACGCCAGAGCGACGCGCGCCCAGGCGCGAGGCUGAAGGAGAGCGAGACACCGGGCCGUUGCCAAGGAACGGGCUGCGCUGACGCGCGCGCUGAUGGAGCCGUCGCCCGGGAGACGGAGGGACGGGCUGCAGACAGAGGCUGAGAAGGAGACAGGGGGUCCAUGUCUGAAGAUGCUAGGAAUCAGGGGAGCUGGAAACAGCAGGCGGUAGGAAGCAGCAGAGAAGUAGUGUUGGAAAUUGCCUGCAUGGUGAGGGAAGGAAAUCCCUUGACACAUCUGCAAGAAGACUGGCUCUGUGAAAAAGCCUUGCUAGGGCAGGGAAGAGCUACAGAGGCUGCCAUACGUGGGCCCAGAGCUGUGCAACAGGAGUCUGGAGGCUUUGUCUCCCCAUCCUCCACCGAGGUGGCUUCACAGCCCCAGGACACCCCUGACCUGAAGCAUGGCUCUCGAUGGGAACUUCAUAUUCAAACUCUGAAUAAGGAUGUGAAGAUGACAUGGAAGGCCAGAUCCACUUGUGCCUGCUUCUCCUUGCCUUGCCCAGGAUCUUUUCUCUUUGGGAUCCCUACAAACUGACCAGUUGAAGAUUACUGUUGCUGCAGAACAUAAGAAGCUCAGCAGAAUUUGUGCAUGGCAUUGAAUCGUGCAUCAUACAUUCUUACAUACUGCUCCUGCAUGUAGGCUGUGAUGAAGGGGAAGUCAAU
rnacentral:lncRNA from 1 species